UAACCUACUAAAUAGUGCUGCUAGCAUUUGCUGGUAUAGUCACUUCUUAGAGGGACUAUCGAUUUCAAGUCGAUGGAAGUUUGAGGCAAUAACAGGUCUGUGAUGCCCUUAGACGUUCUGGGCCGCACGCGCGCUACACUGACGGAGCCAGCGAGUAUAAACCUUGGCCGAGAGGUCUGGGAAAUCUUGUGAAACUCCGUCGUGCUGGGGAUAGAGCAUUGUAAUUGUUGCUCUUCAACGAGGAAUUCCUAGUAAGCGCAAGUCAUCAGCUUGCGUUGAUUACGUCCCUGCCCUUUGUACACACCGCCCGUCGCU
rnacentral:rRNA from 1 species